UACUUAGGGUGCAAGCGUUAAUCGGAAUUACGGGGCGUAAAGCGUGCGCAGGCGGUUUUGUAAGUCUGUCGUGAAAGCCCCUGGCUCAACCUGGGAAUUGCGAUGGAGACUGCAAGGCUUGAAUCUGGCAGAGGGGGGUAGAAUUCCACGUGUAGCAGUGAAAUGCGUAGAGAUGUGGAGGAACACCGAUGGCGAAGGCAGCCCCCUGGGUCAAGAUUGACGCUCAUGCACGAAAGCGUGGGGAGCAAACAGG
rnacentral:rRNA from 1 species